GUAGUCCACGCCCUAAACGAUGUCAACUGGGUGUUGGGGAAGCGAUUCCUCAGUACCGUAGCUAACGCGUGAAGUUGACCGCCUGGGGAGUACGGCCGCAAGGUUAAAACUCAAAGGAAUUGACGGGGACCCGCACAAGCGGUGGAUGAUGUGGAUUAAUUCGAUGCAACGCGAACAACCUUACCUACCCUUGACAUGUCCGGAAGCCCGCUGAGAGGCGGGCGUGCCCGAAAGGGAAUCGGAACACAGGUGCUGCAUGGCUGUCGUCAGCUCGUGUCGUGAGAUGUUGGGUUAAGUCCCGCAACGAGCGCAACCCUUGUCCCUAGUUGCUACGCAAGGGCACUCUAGGGAGACUGCCGGUGACAAACCGGAGGAAGGUGGGGAUGACGUCAAGUCCUCAUGGCCCUUAUGGGUAGGGCUUCACACGUCAUACAAUGGCCGGUACAGAGGGUUGCCAACCCGCGAGGGGGAGCCAAUCCCAGAAAGCCGGUCGUAGUCCGGAUUGCAGUCUGCAACUCGACUGCAUGAAGUCGGAAUCGCUAGUAAUCGCGGAUCAGCAUGCCGCGGUGAAUA
rnacentral:rRNA from 1 species